UGUUCAAAGGUUCAUAGAUGACCGGCAGGGUCAAUUAAUAAUCACAGUGGUUGUAGAGGGUGCAACAGGUCAGUACCUCAGGAGUUUAUGUCAGUUGGCUUUUCAUAGCCGAGCAUUCAGAGGUCGAGACAGCAGAUGUGAUAGAGAGAGAGAGUCGAAUACAGCAGGUGUGAUAGAGAGAGAGAGUCGAAUACAGCAGGUGUGAUAGAGAGAGAGAGAGUCGAAUACAGCAGGUGUGAUAGAGAGAGAGAGAGAGAGAGUCGAAUACAGCAGGUGUGAUAGAGAGAGAGAGAGAGUCGAAUACAGCAGGUGUGAUAGAGAGAGAGAGAGUUCGAAUACAGCAGGUGUGAUAGAAGAGAGAGAGUCCGAAUACAGCAGGUGUGAAGAGAGAGAGAGUGGGAGAGGCGAAGAGAAACGUCUGAAUACAACAGGUGAGAUAGAGAGAGAGAGAGAGUCGAAUACAGCAGGUGUGAGAGAGAGAGAGAGAGUCGAAUACAGCAGGGUGUGAUAGAGAGAGAGAGAUUCGAAUACAGCAGGUGUGAUAG
rnacentral:lncRNA from 1 species